UAGCCAUUGCACUCAGCGUAACUGCCUGGAA
rnacentral:piRNA from 1 species